AUUGAACGCUGGCGGCAGGCCUAACACAUGCAAGUCGAGCGGAUGAAGAGAGCUUGCUCUCUGAUUUAGCGGCGGACGGGUGAGUAAUGCCUAGGAAUCUGCCUGGUAGCGGGGGAUAACGUCCGGAAACGGGCGCUAAUACCGCAUACGUCCUACGGGAGAAAGCAGGGGACCUUCGGGCCUUGCGCUAUCAGAUGAGCCUAGGUCGGAUUAGCUAGUUGGUGAGGUAAUGGCUCACCAAGGCUACGAUCCGUAACUGGUCUGAGAGGAUGAUCAGUCACACUGGAACUGAGACACGGUCCAGACUCCUACGGGAGGCAGCAGUGGGGAAUAUUGGACAAUGGGCGAAAGCCUGAUCCAGCCAUGCCGCGUGUGUGAAGAAGGUCUUCGGAUUGUAAAGCACUUUAAGUUGGGAGGAAGGGCAGUAAGUUAAUACCUUGCUGUUUUGACGUUACCGACAGAAUAAGCACCGGCUAACUUCGUGCCAGCAGCCGCGGUAAGAC
rnacentral:rRNA from 1 species